GAGGCAACCAGUAAAGAAUCCAUUCAUUAGAUGAGGCAAUUAUUCUAGGAUACCAAAAGAACUGCCCCAAGCUAACAUGUAUGAUGACAUCACAAGUGAAGUCAGAUAACAAACAUGCAAGUGUUGGAAGCUUAUGCUAGUGGCAGCUGAUAGGAGAGAAUACGAGGAGAAAGCUGCUUGUAGCUGUCAUUUGCUAAAAAUCAGCACUUAAGAUAAAAUAGUCCCUGUUUUUUUCUUAUAUCUUCUGACAGAGUUUGAUGUCCAGAAGCAUCUACUUUUCUUCUGCAAUAGUAGGAUUCAUCAUCAUAUAAAGCAGUAUAACCC